GCCCAAGCAUUGAGGCAGUCAAAGUAGGCAAAUCCGCUUUGAUAAUGCUGGGAUGUGAUGGGGAGCGAAAUUUAGUAGCGAAGUAGCUGAUUUCACACUGUCAAGAAAAGUCUCUAUCGAGGUUAAAGGUACCCGUACCGCAAACCGACACAGGUGGGUGAGGAGAGUAUCCUAAGGCCAGCGAGAGAACUGUUGUUAAGGAACUCGGCAAAAUGACCCCGUAACUUAGGGAUAAGGGGUGCCACCAUCAGGUGGCCGCAGAGAAUAGGCCCAAGCGACUGUUUACCAAAAACAUAGGUUUCUGCUAAGUCGCAAGACGAUGUAUAGGAGCUGACGCCUGCCCGGUGCUGGAAGGUUAAGGGGAUCUGUUAGAGCAAUCGAAGCAGUGAACUUAAGCCCCAGUAAACGGCGGCCGUAACUAUAACGGUCCUAAGGUAGCGAAAUUCCUUGUCGGGUAAGUUCCGACCCGCACGAAAGGCGUAACGAUUUGGGCACUGUCUCAACAACAGACUCGGUGAAAUUGUAAUUCCGGUGAAGAUGCCGGAUACCUGCGACAGGACGGAAAGACCCCAUGGAGCUUUACUGUAGCUUGACAUUGGGUCUUGGUACUACAUGUACAGGAUAGGUGGGAGGCUUUGAAACCAGGACGCCAGUUUUGGCGGAGCCAUCCUUGGGAUACCACCCUUGUAGUACUGGGACUCUAACCAUAGGCCAUGAAUCUGGUCUUGGGACACUGUCAGGUGGGCAGUUUGACUGGGGCGGUCGCCUCCCAAAAGGUAACGGAGGCGCUCAAAGGUUCUCUCAGUACGGUCGGAAAUCGUACGUAGAGUGUAAAGGCAAAAGAGAGCUUGAUUGCAAGACAUACAGGUCGAGCAAGGAUGAAAAUCGGACUUAGUGAUCCGGUGGUUCUGCGUGGAAGGGCCAUCGCUCAACGGAUAAAAGCUACCCUGGGGAUAACAGGCUUAUCUCCCCCAAGAGUCCACAUCGACGGGGAGGUUUGGCACCUCGAUGUCGGCUCAUCACAUCCUGGGGCUGUAGUAGGUCCCAAGGGUUGGGCUGUUCGCCCAUUAAAGUGGUACGCGAGCUGGGUUCAGAACGUCGUGAGACAGUUCGGUCCCUAUCCGUCGCAGGCGUAGGAAAUUUGAGAAGACCUGUCCUUAGUACGAGAGGACCGGGAUGGACG
rnacentral:rRNA from 1 species